AUGCUCGCCAGCCCCGCCUGGCCCACAUUGCGCAUGCUUGCCAACCACACCCCGUCCGCACCACACUGCGCAUGCCCACCGGCCCCCGCCCCGCGCAAGGCGUCAGCGUCGAGACGCAGGUGCGUUCCCGUCGAGGCUCGCGCUGCGGGAGCUUUUGGGGAUCGCCUGGCGGGGUGUUCAGGAGCCGCGGGCUGAAGCACGGGGGCGUGUAGCCGCCCAGGCCUCGUGUAGUGAGGGCCGAGCCCCGCGCCAGCUUUUCUGUAGUCCGCAGCCCCGGCGGCUUUGUGGGCGCAGCCACGCUCCUCAGCCGCCCGCCCACCUGGGCCUGGGCCCCGGUUGUUUCCCUGCGUGGCUGUGGUCGUUCCCGUUCCGGGGUCUCGAGCGCACCGCCCCCUUCGCUGCGCUGUUAGUCGAGGGCAGUUUUCUGGGGGAUCCCCCAUCCCCCCUCGCCGCUCAGGCGUCUUGGCUCGCGGAAGCGCGGGCGCCAACUGCCUGUCGUCGUCCGUGACUCCUGGCCCUUCUCUGUGGAUCCCUUUGCUUCCCGUUGCGGGUUGUGUUUCCUGCUUCGUGGGCCUGGCCGUUUGCGUUUGGAUGCAGGCCCCGGUGAGCCCUGCGUGGCCCGCUGGCCUCUUCCUGCUCCCUAGGUGA
rnacentral:lncRNA from 1 species